GAGAAAUAUUGCAAAAGGAAAAGAAGGAAAAGAGUUUGGCCUUGGCAGAAGGCAGACCUUUACCUCCAUUGCAUGUAGGCGAGGACCUCCGCUCUCUGAACAUGGAUGACUUUCGAUAUGCACAUGAACAGGUUUGUGCAAGCGCGUCGUCAGAAUCGACAAAUAUGAGCGAGCUUCUCCAAUGGAAUGAGUUGUACGGAGAAGGUGGAUCAAGG
rnacentral:misc_RNA from 1 species